rnacentral:lncRNA from 1 species
UCUUGCUUCCCUAAGGAAAGAGUGCAUCCAGGAGUUCAGCCAGCUCACACAAAAAAAAAUGCAAAGUGAAGAGAUAAGACAGAGAGAGAGUGAAAGAUCUGAAACUGAUGACCUCAUGUGAGUCCUUAAAUUCAGUGAUGCUUGAAGGACCCCACCCUAGAAGUUUCCAAGUAAAUGACCCAAUACAUUUACUUUUUGCUUAUGCCAUUUUGGGUUGGAGUCUAUCAUGGAUAACCAACAACCCCAGCUAGAGCGAUGACUGCCACAUCUGUAUCACCAGGCCUGAUUCAACUCUGAGCAUCAGACCCACGUAUCCAAUUGUCCAUGGACAUUUUUAUGACCUCUGCCAAAUGGACAGGCUGCUGGGAACACGUUCCAUGAACCCAAAUCUGGCUUGAUUAAAAGAGCUGCUCACCAUGUACACAACCAACCCCCCAUGUUGUCCUCAUCCCACUGUUGGAUAUCCUGCCAACUACAACCCUAUUACAAAUGUUGACUUCCUCUCUACUAUGAUAUCAUCCCAUUGCUAAAAACAGAAACUUGGGAUGCUUCAACGGGGAAACUUAUCUCCAAGAUGUCUGCCAUCAAUUCUUUGCCUCCCUGGACAUGCAAGUCAUUCUCAGCUAAGGGCUGAGCUAGGGCCUAUUCCUACUCUCCCUUUGCAUCUGCUCUGGCCUUAGUUAUUUUCUUCCCCAAUAGAACGCAGUAGUAGUGAUGUUCUGGAACUUCUGAGCCUAGGUCAUAAUAAACUUCACAACAUCUGCUGCCACUGAAGAAGUUGGUCUAUUCUGAGGUGGCCAUGAUGGAAGGAAGCCCAAGCUAGCCACAGGAAAAAGCCAUGUAGAGACAGAGUGCAAUGUCAACUACCCUCCAGCUAUUCCAGUUUUCUCAGCCCUGGUGCUAGUCAUUUAAGCCAUGACCUGACGAUACAUGCAACAGUUUGCCUAUCAGACAGCUCUGCCAGCCUACAAGUUCCAGAAAGGCAAGCACAGCAUGUUAUCCACAUCUUCAGCAACGCAAAGGCUGAGGCUCACGAAGACUACCUGACUUUGAUCCCCAGCCCACAAACCACAGUGCAGCCCAGGAACAGAGGCUGAGGCAGUACAUUCUCACAAAGACUUCACUGCAGGGGCAAAGCCAAGGCA